GCAUAUCAAUAAGCGGAGGAAAAGAAACUAACAAGGAUUCCCCUAGUAACUGCGAAGUGAAGCGGGAAAAGCUCAAAUUUAAAAUCUGACGGUCUUUUGGUCGUCCGAGUUGUAAUCUAGAGAAGUGUUAUCCGCGUUGGACCGUGUACAAGUCUCCUGGAAUGGAGCGUCAUAGAGGGUGAGAAUCCCGUCUUUGACACGGACUACCAGUGCUUUGUGAUGCGCUCUCAAAGAGUCGAGUUGUUUGGGAAUGCAGCUCAAAAUGGGUGGUAAAUUCCAUCUAAAGCUAAAUAUUGGCGAGAGACCGAUAGCGAACAAGUACCGUGAGGGAAAGAUGAAAAGAACUUUGGAAAGAGAGUUAAACAGUACGUGAAAUUGCUGAAAGGGAAACGCUUGAAGUCAGUCGCGUUGUCCGGGAAUCAACCUUGCUUUUGCUGGGUGUACUUUCCGGUUGACGGGUCAGCAUCAAUUUUGACCGUUGGAUAAAGUGUAGGGGAAUGUGGCAUCUUUGGAUGUGUUAUAGCCCUUGCUCGCAUACAACGGUUGGGAUUGAGGAACUCAGUACGCCGCAAGGCCGGGAAUUUAUUCUACGUUCGUACUUAGGAUGCUGGCAUAAUGGCUUUAAUCGACCCGUCUUGAAACACGGACCAAGGAGUCUAACAUGCCUGCGAGUGUUUGGGUGGAAAACCCGAGCGCGUAAUGAAAGUGAAAGUUGAGAUCCCUGUCGUGGGGAGCAUCGACGCCCGGACCAGACCUUUUGUGACGGAUCUGCGGUAGAGCAUGUAUGUUGGGACCCGAAAGAUGGUGAACUAUGCCUGAAUAGGGUGAAGCCAGAGGAAACUCUGGUGGAGGCUCGUAGCGAUUCUGACGUGCAAAUCGAUCGUCAAAUUUGGGUAUAGGGGCGAAAGACUAAUCGAACCAUCUAGUAGCUGGUUCUGC
rnacentral:rRNA from 1 species